GGAAGGACAGAAAGGAGGAAAUCUUGGGACUGGGACAUUGCUGGUGAGAGAUUCCUUCUAUCCCGACACAUUGCCCUCCUAACCUAGUUCUGGGUGUGAUCUCGGUGGCUGAAGGCUUUCCACAGUUAAGCCAGAGGGAGCUCAGAAGCAGAGAGGCAAGGGGAAGAAGACUAGACGACCUGAGGACAGAGAACCAGCUAUUUUUGCCCUGCUGCUCUCUCUAGCUGUCGAACAGCAAAUUGCUGCUGCAGAAAUGACCUCCCCACUGUUCUGGAGUCUUCGGCUCCAAAUAGGAAUGGAUUGAUGGAUGUGCUUGCUACUUGUCUCUGGGCCCAAGAGCCUGUGCUUGGAGGGACUCCAUGGCUUCUCAGCACCGUCAGAUUUCUGUUGACUCAAGAAUCCUCCCAGAAGUCUGGGGAAACGUCUCUGGUAGAGCGACACCAACUGUCCCUCCUCUGGCUUAUGCAUUGGCCACAACAUACAGGAAGGAAGUCACAACUUAAAAAUAUAUUUGACAUGGCAUGUUCCGCAGCCCAGGCAUGGAGUGAUCACCGAGUUACUUCUGGGCAACAGCAGGCAAACAGGCAGGAGAGAUUCUGGAAAAGCCCUGAUGAACCCAUGCUCUUUGGGAACAGAGGCCAAGGCCAACCCUGAGUCCAGGAGCGCCAAGAGGACCCAUGUAGCAACUGGCAAGGACAGCAGCCCAACACCAAGGUCUCUUC
rnacentral:lncRNA from 1 species